GAAAUCCCGGGCAACUGGGAGAGUAAAGUGGCGCACGGGUGAGUAACGCGUGGGUAACCUUCCCUGAAGACAGGGAUAACACCUCGAAAGGGGUGCUAAUACCUGAUGAUGUCCUUUGAACGCCGGUUUAGAGGACCAAAGGUGGCCUCUACCUGUAAGCUAUCGCUUUAGGAUGGGCCCGCGUACCAUUAGCUAGUUGGCAAGGUAAUGGCUUACCAAGGCAAUGAUGUUUAGCUGGUCUGAGGAGAUAGCCAGCCACACUGGAACUGAGAUACGGUCCAGACUCCCUCCCUUGGCAGCNGGAGGACUCCUACNUANAUCGUAUGGAGGGGAUCUNANCAUCUCNUGGAAA
rnacentral:sRNA from 1 species